rnacentral:lncRNA from 1 species
AUCCAUGGAGGGAUUGAUGGAUCCAUGGAGGGAUCCAUGGAGGGAUUGAUGGAUGGAUUCAUGGAUGGAUGAUGGAUGAUGGAUGGAUGAUGGAUGAUGGAUGGAUGAUGGAUGGAUGAUGGAUGAUGGA